rnacentral:tRNA from 1 species
GGAGGGGUACCCAAGUGGCCAAAGGGGGCAGACUGUAAAUCUGUUGCCGCAGGCUUCGUUGGUUCGAAUCCAACCCCCUCCACCA